UAAAGUGUUGACCAACGCCGCGCGACCGA
rnacentral:sRNA from 1 species